rnacentral:rRNA from 1 species
GACGAACGCUGGCGGCGUGCCUAAUACAUGCAAGUCGAGCGAAUUGAUGGGAGCUUGCUCCCUGAGAUUAGCGGCGGACGGGUGAGUAACACGUGGGUAACCUGCCUGUAAGACUGGGAUAACUUCGGGAAACCGAGCUAAUACCGGAUAGUUUCUUUCUCGCAUGAGAAGAGAUGGAAAGAUGGUUCUGCUAUCACUUACAGAUGGACCCGCGGCGCAUUAGCUAGUUGGUGAGGUAACGGCUCACCAAGGCGACGAUGCGUAGCCGACCUGAGAGGGUGAUCGGCCACACUUGGGACUGAGACACGGCCCAGACUCCUACGGGAGCUG